rnacentral:rRNA from 1 species
UACAUGUGGGGCAAGCGUUGUUCGGAAUUACUGGGCAUAAAGGGUGCGUAGGUGGCUUGUUAAGUCAGGGGUGAAAGUUUUCGGCCCAACCGGAAAAUGGCCUUUGAUACUGGCGAGCUCGAGUGCGUGAGGGGUAACCGGAACGAGCAGUGUAGCGGUGAAAUGCGUAGAUAUCGAGAGGAACACCAGUGGCGAAGGCGAGUCCCUGGACAACACCUGACACUGAGGCACGAAAGCUAGGGGAGCAAACAGG